rnacentral:rRNA from 1 species
AGUCGAGCGAAGCUUUCCAGUAGUUUACUACAGAAAAUGACUGAGCGGCGAACGGGUGAGUAACGCGUGAGCAAUCUACCUUAGUUACAGGGAUAGCCCGAGGAAACUCGGAUUAAUACCUGAUAUUCUUUAAAUUUCGCAUGAAAUUAAAAGGAAAGGUCAGCCGAACUAAGAUGAGCUCGCGUUCUAUCAGCUAGUUGGUGAGGUAAAAGCUCACCAAGGCAACGACGGAUAGCUGGUCUGAGAGGACGAUCAGCCACACUGGGACUGAGACACGGCCCAGACCCCUACGGGAGGCUGCAGCAGGGAAUAUUGCGCAAUGAGCGAAAGCUUGACGCAGCGACACCGCGUGUGGGAUGACGGAUCUAGGUUUGUAAACCACUUUCAGGAGGGAAGAAAAUGACGGUACCUCCACAAGAAGCCCCGGCCAACUACGUGCCAGCAGCCGCGGUAAUACGUAGGGGGCGAGCGUUGUCCGGAUUUAUUGGGCGUAAAGAGCUCGUAGGCGGUUCAACAAGUCGGUCGUAAAAGUUCAGGGCUCAACCCUGAAAUGUCGAUCGAUACUGUUGUGACUAGGAUACGGUAGAGGUGAGUGGAGUUCCGAGUGUAGCGGUGAAAUGCGUAGAUAUUCGGAGGAACACCAAUUGCGAAGGCAGCUCACUGGGCCGCUAUCGACGCUGAGGAGCGAAAGCUAGGGGAGCAAACAGGAUUAGAUACCCUGGUAGUCCUAGCUGUAAACGAUGGAUACUAGACGUAGGAACUGGAUUGACGGUUUCUGUGUCGUAGCUAACGCGUUAAGUAUCCCGCCUGGGGAGUACGGUCGCAAGACUAAAACUCAAAGGAAUUGACGGGACCCCGCACAAGCGGCGGAGCAUGCGGCUUAAUUCGAUGAUACCCGUAGAACCUUACCUGGACUUGACAUAUAGGGUCAAGCUAUAGAGAUAUAGUGUGCAUUAGCGCCCUAUACAGGUGGUGCAUGG